rnacentral:rRNA from 1 species
AUCGGGAGUAGACUAACAAGGAUUCCCCUAGUAACUGCGAGUGAAGCGGGAAGAGCUCAAAUUUAAAAUCUGACGGUCUAUGGUCGUCCGAGUUGUAAUCUAGAGAAGUGUUUUCCGUGUUGGACCGUGUACAAGUUUCUUGGAACAGAACAUCAUAGAGGGUGAGAAUCCCGUCUUUGACACGGACUACCAAUGCUUUGUGAUGCACUCUCGAAGAGUCGCGUUGUUUGGGAAUGCAGCGCAAAAUGGGUGGUGAAUUCCAUCUAAAGCUAAAUAUUGGCGAGAGACCGAUAGCGAACAAGUACCGUGAGGGAAAGAUGAAAAGCACUUUGGAAAGAGAGUUAAACAGUACGUGAAAUUGUUGAAAGGGAAACGCUUGAAGUCAGUCGCGUCUUGCGGAACUCAGCCUUGCUUCUGCUUGGUGUAUUUUCUGUUCGACGGGCCAGCAUCAAUUUUGACCGCUGGAAAAAGUGUGAGGGAAUGUGGCAUCCUCGGAUGUGUUAUAGCCCUUGCUCGCAUACAGCGGUUGGGAUUGAGGACCGCAGCACGCCUUUUUGGCCGGGGUUCGCCCACGUACGUGCUUAGGAUGCUGGCGUAAUGGCUUUAAACGACCCGUCUUGAAACACGGACCAAGGAGUCUAACAUGCCUGCGAGUGUUUGGGUGGAAAACCCAUGCGCGCAAUGAAAGUGAAAGUUGGGACCUCUGUCGUGGAGGGCACCGACGCCCGGUCUUGAGCCUCGGCGACGGAUCCGCGGUUGAGCAUGUAUGUUGGGACCCGAAAGAUGGUGAACUAUGCCUGAAUAGGGUGAAGCCAGAGGAAACUCUGGUGGAGGCUCGUAGCGAUUCUGACGUGCAAAUCGAUCGUCAAAUUUGGGUAUAGGGGCGAAAGACUAAUCGAACCAUCUAGUAGCUGGUUCCUGCCGAAGUUUCCCUCAGAUAGCAGAACUCGUAUCAGAUUUAUGUGGUAAGCGAAUGAUUAGAGGUCUUGGGGUUGAACAACCUUAACCUAUUCUCAAACUUUAAAUAUGUAGACGACCGUCACUUAGUUGGACCGUUCGGCGAUGAGAGUUUCUAGUGGGCCAUUUUGGUAGCAG